rnacentral:rRNA from 1 species
GACGAACGCUGGCGGCGUGCUUAACACAUGCAAGUCGAACGAAGAGCGAUGGAAGCUUGCUUCUAUCAAUCUUAGUGGCGAACGGGUGAGUAACGCGUAAUCAACCUGCCCUUCAGAGGGGGACAACAGUUGGAAACGACUGCUAAUACCGCAUACGAUCUAAUCUCGGCAUCGAGGAUAGAUGAAAGGUGGCCUCUACAUGUAAGCUAUCACUGAAGGAGGGGAUUGCGUCUGAUUAGCUAGUUGGAGGGGUAACGGCCCACCAAGGCGAUGAUCAGUAGCCGGUCUGAGAGGAUGAACGGCCACAUUGGGACUGAGACACGGCCCAGACUCCUACGGGAGGCAGCAGUGGGGAAUCUUCCGCAAUGGACGAAAGUCUGACGGAGCAACGCCGCGUGAGUGAUGACGGCCUUCGGGGUUGUAAAAGCUCUGUUAAAUCGGGAACGAAAAGGCCUUUCUUG